rnacentral:rRNA from 1 species
CAGGCCUACGGGACGCAGCAGUGAGGAAUAUUGGUCAAUGGCCGCAGGGCUGAAGCAGCCAAGUCGCGUGAGGGAUGACGGUCCUAUGGAUUGUAAACCUCUUUUGUCAGGGAGCAAAGGGCGCCACGUGUGGCGUUUUGCGAGUACCUGAAGAAAAAGCAUCGGCUAACUCCGUGCCAGCAGCCGAGGUAAUACGGAGGAUGCGAGCGUUAUCCGGAUUUAUUGGGUUUAAAGGGUGAGCAGGCGGAAUGUCAAG